GAUGAACGCUGGCGGCGUGCCUAAUACAUGCAAGUCGAGCGAACAGAUGAGGAGCUUGCUCCUCUGACGUUAGCGGCGGACGGGUGAGUAACACGUGGAUAACCUACCUAUAAGACUGGGAUAACUUCGGGAAACCGGAGCUAAUACCGGAUAAUAUAUUGAACCGCAUGGUUCAAUAGUGAAAGACGGUUUUGCUGUCACUUAUAGAUGGAUCCGCGCCGCAUUAGCUAGUUGGUAAGGUAACGGCUUACCAAGGCAACGAUGCGUAGCCGACCUGAGAGGGUGGUCGGCCACACGGGAAGUGAGACACGGUCCAGAGUCCUACGGGAGGCAGCAGUAGGGAAUCUGCCGCAAUGGGCGAAAGCCUGACGGAGCAACGCGGCGUGAGAUAUGAAGGUCUUGGGAGCGUAAAACUCUGUUAUUAGGGAAGAACAAAUGUGUAAGUAACUAUGCACGUCUUGACGGUACCUAAUCAGAAAGCCACGGCUAACUACGUG
rnacentral:rRNA from 1 species